rnacentral:rRNA from 1 species
UACGUAGGGGGCAAGCGUUAUCCGGAUUUACUGGGUGUAAAGGGAGCGUAGACGGCAAGGCAAGUCUGAUGUGAAAACCCAGGGCUUAACUCUGGGACUGCAUUGGAAACUGUCUGGCUCGAGUGCCGGAGAGGUAAGCGGAAUUCCUAGUGUAGCGGUGAAAUGCGUAGAUAUUAGGAAGAACACCAGUGGCGAAGGCGGCUUACUGGACGGUAACUGACGUUGAGGCUCGAAAGCGUGGGGAGCAAACAGG